GCUAGCCCCCGAGUUAAGUUGAACGAAUCACUGCAGACCGUAUUGUCAGUAGUACGUUAGUGGCUGCGUGCUGUUCUAUUUUGGUUUGCUCCGUGUGUGCUACUAUAACUGUCCAUUCCCAGUGGCUUUAUACAUGAACCAUGGUUAUGGGCCUUCACUAAUUAGCACCCGAUGAUUCGCCCUUGAGUGAAAUGCGUUGAAGAACCUAAUUUUUGAGUAAGACCUGUGAGAGGAUUUGGGGCACACGGAUCUGGGGCACGCGGAUUCUUUGCCGUUGAAGUUGGUCUCUGUAUUUCGUGUAUUCGUCGGUGUAUAUCAGUAAACAUUCGCAUCGUAAAGUUAAAGUAUUAAACUUGUUUCUGUUGAUUCGUUUACAAAGGUACAUAUAUUUCGAUAAACAGUAUCUGUAAAAAUGCACAUUAAAAGCUAGACUUUUGCUGAAAGCGUUAUGUGUUCUUCUCUUCAUAUAUGUUCUAUAAGUACCCACUGCUUCUCCUUUCCUUUUUAUUUUGAAAGGUCUAGCAUCAGCAAAAUAAUAAGGUGGUGAAGGUCCUAAGACCAAAAGACCCGAAGGUCAAAGAAAAAGAAAACAUCAGCCCUAAUAGCUGUAGCACAACACUCAAAAGAAAACCACAUAAGACAACACAACUCCGACUCCGGUGGUGAACUGCAAAGAGAGUAGGCAAGGUUAGCGUCACAGAGGAUCGCAAAACGAACCACCUAUCACGCGUCAUUGUAUACCACCGGUGCCCCGCCACCGCGGCUUCGACUUCACAGCAACAAACAGUCGAGGCAACCCCACCGAUAAGACGGAGAAGAAGAGCCGACUACCACGACCAAUGCCACGCCUUCGACAUGCUCACUACCGUCAUUUGUUGCCACAUAAGUCACCGUGCACGUCCAGUCAUAGGAAGCACCAAUGGGAACAACGUUCAAGACGAUGCCACCGCCCGACCCUGCAGCAGGAUCUGAGCUUUCACCCGAAGAAAUUGAUCUGCGAGUAGAGGCUCUGAAAUUCCCUAUGACGCCUCCAAGGAUGAUAACGACGCCCACGGGCGCCGUCGCCGCCGGCCGGCCAGCACCAGCCAGGCUUUCACCCAGGGCGGCCACUCCCACGCAGCAGGUCGAGGUCGACCCGUGCCUCCACUGGACCGCGCACCCCCCACACAGCAAGCGCGCCACCGUUGUGUAGGGCCACCAGCUAGCCUCCCCGACGACGUGCCUCCAGAUACCAGAUCGGGUCGUGCACCCCGCAUCCAACCGUGGCCAGAGCCUCCCUGCUCCAGCACCGCCCCCGUUCGCGAACUGACCGCGAUCACCAUGCGCCGCUACACCUAGAUCCGCGCUGCCUAGAGGCCUCCAGCCCAGCACGCCUCCUACGUGCCAGAUCAACGCAUCCCGGAGCCCCAUGCGCGCCCCUCGCGACUGGCAUGCCGCUGAUCCACCCGGAAGCGACGCCUAAGCACCAUGUGCACGCGGCUCCUCAGAUCUGGCCGUCGCACCGUGUCGCAACCACCGUACGCCACGCUCCCCUGCAAACGAGCGCUCCCGCGAGCUCGCGGGCGCCCAUCGCCUCCGCCGGCUCCAGCUUGCCUCAUGCCUCCACGAGCCAUGCGCACGCCCGCGCGUCUCCGCCAGCUCCCCGCACCGUCCCAACACCCCCUACAGACGAGCGCCCUGCACCGCCCGAGCUACACGAGAGGGCGAAACCGAGAGGCCCACCACCGACGACCCCAUGCGUGAUUUGCCCGACUGCGGAAGGGGAGGGAGGCGGGGGGAGGCGGGGGAGGGGGAGUUCGGGGGCAGCUAGGGUUAGCGCCCGAGUCGCCCGCGGGAGGGCGACGCAGGGCUCCACAACGAGAUAAACAUGUAUUCUCUCUUUAGAACUCUUGUUCUUCUCUUUUUAGAACUCUUGUGUUCUAAUAGUACAGCUGGUGGCACAAUGAAAUGCAUAAUCUGGAACUUGCGGGGGUUCGGGCAGAGGGAUUGCCGGCGGCAACUGCUGCCUCUUGAGCACUGCAUUGGUUUUCCCUUAAAGAGGAAAGGGUGAUUGAUAACCCACAAGUAUAGGGGAUCGCAAAAGUUUUCGAGGAUAAAGUAUUCAACCCAAAUUAAUUGAUUCGACACAAGGGGAGCCAAAGAAUACUCUCAAGUAUUAGCAGCUGAGUUGUCAAUUCAACCACACCUGGAAACUUAGUAUCUGCUGCAAAGUGUUUAGUAGCAAAGUAAUAUGAUAGUAGUGGUAACGGUAACAAAAGGUAACGGUAGCAAAAGUAAUGUUUUUGGUAUUUUGUAGUGAUGAUAGCAAUAGCAACGGAAAAGUAAACGAGCGAAGAACAAUAUAUGGAAAGCUCGUAGGCAAUGGAUCGGUGAUGGAGAAUUAUGCCGGAUGCGGUUCAUCAUGUAACAGUCAUAACCUAGGGUGACACAGAACUAGCUCCAGUUCAUUGAUAUAAUGUAGGCAUGUAUUCCGUGCAUAGUCAUACAUGCUUAUGGAAAAGAACUUGCAUGCCAUCUUUUGUCCUACCCUCCCGUGGCAGCGGGGUCCUUACGGAAACUAAGGGAUAUUAAGGCCUCCUUUUAAUAGAGUACCGGAACAAAGCAUUAACACAUAGUGAAUACAUGAACUUCUCAAACUACGGUCAUCACCGGUAAGUAUCCCGAUUAUUGUCACUUCGGGGUUAAUGGAUCAUAACACAUAAUAGGUGACUAUAGACUUGCAAGGUAGGAUCAAGAACACUCAUAUAUUGAUGAAAACAUAAUAGGUUCAGAUCUGAAAUCAUGGCACUCGGGCCCUACUGACAAGCAUUAAGCAUAGCAAAGUCAUAGCAACAUCAAUCUCAGAACAUAGUGGAUACUAGGGAUCAAACCCUAACAAAACUAACUCGAUUACAUGAUAGAUCCCAUCCAACCCAUCACCGUGCAGCAAGCCUACGAUGGAAUUACUCACGCAUGGCGGUGAGCAUCAUGAAAUUGGUGAUGGAUGAUGGUUGAUGAUGACGAUGGCGAUGGAUUCCCCUCUCCGGAGCCCCGAACGGACUCCAGAUCAGCCCUCCCGAGAGGUUUUAGGGCUUGGCGGCGGCUCCGUAUCGUAAAACGCGAUGAUUUCUUCACUCUGAUUUUUUUUCUCCCCGAAACACAAUAUAUGGAGUUGGAGUUAGAGUUGGAGUCGGAGAGGCAACAGGGGGCCCACGAGGUAGGGGGGCACGCCCUAGGGGGGCAGCGCACCCCCCACCCUCGUGGACAGGUGGUGGGCCCCCUGGCCUUCAUCUUUUGCAGGUAUUUUUCAUAUUUUCUGAAAAGUUGCUCCGUGAAGUUUCAGGUCAUUCCGAGAACGUUUGUUCCUGCACAUAAAUAACACCAUGGUAAUUUUGCCGAAAACAGCGUCAGUCCGGGUUAGUUCCAUUCAAAUCAUGCAAGUUAGAGUCCAAAACAAGGGCAAAAGUGUUUGGAAAAGUAGAUACGUUGGAGACGUAUCAGUGAUGCAGCAAAGUAGCGUAAGUAUUUCCCUUAGUUUUUGAGAACCAAGGUAUCAAUCCAGUAGGAGGCUACACGCGAGUCCCUCGUACCUGCACAAAGCAAACAACUCCUCGCAACCAAUGCGAUAAGGGGUUGUCAAUCCCUUCACGGUCACUUACGAGAGUGAGAUCUGAUAGAUAUGAUAAGAUAAUUUUUUUGGUCUUUUUGUGAUAAAGAUGCAAAGUAAAAUAAAAAGCAAAGGAAAUAACUAAAUAUUGGAAGAUUAAUAUGAUGAAGAUAGACCCGAGGGCCAUAGGUUUCACUAGUGGCUUCUCUCAAGAGCAUAAGUAUUUUACGGUGGGUGAACGAAUUACUGUUGAGCAAUUGACAGAAUUGAGCAUAGUUAUGAGAAUAUCUAGGUAUGAUCAUGUAUAUAGGCAUCAUGUCCGAUACAAGUAGACCGACUCCUGCCUGCAUCUACUACUAUUACUCCACUCAUCGACCGCUAUCCAAUAUGCAUCUAGAGUAUUAAGUUCAUGAAAAAAGAGUAACGCCUUAAGCAAGAUGACAUGAUGUAGAGGGAUAAAUUCAUGCAAUAUGAUAAAAACCCCAUCUUGUUAUCCUCGAUGGCAACAAUACAAUACGUGCCUUGCUGCCCCUACUAUCACUGGGAAAGGACACCGCAAGAUUGAACCCAAAACUAAGCACUUCUCCCAUUGCAAGAAAGAUCAAUCUAGUAGGCCAAACCAAACUGAUAAUUCGAAGAGACUUGCAAAGAUAACCAAUCAUAUAUAAAAGAAUUCAGAGAAGAUUCAAAUAUUGUUCAUAGAUAAUCUUUAUCAUAAACCCACAAUUCAUUGGUCUCAAUAAACACACCGCAAAAAGAAGAUUACAUCGAAUAGAUCUCCACAAGAGAGGGGGAGAACAUUGUAUUGAGAUCCAAAAAGAGAUAAGAAGCCAUCUAGCUAAUAAUUAUGGACCCGAAGGUCUGAGGUAAACUACUCACACUUCAUCGAAGAGGCUGUGGUGUUGAUGUAGGAGCCCUCCGUGAUGGAUGCCCCCUCCGGCGGAGCUCCGGAACAGGCCCCAAGAUGGGAUCUCGUGGAUACAGAAAGUUACGGCGGUGGAAUUAGGGUUUCAUCUUUUGCAGGUAUUUUUCAUAUUUUUUGAAAAGUUGGUCCGUGAAGUUUCAGGUCAUUCCGAGAAUGUUUGUUCCUACACUUAAAUAACACCAUGGUAAUUCUGCUGAGAAAAGCGUCAGUCUGGGUUAGUUCCAUUCAAAUCAUGCAAGUUAGAGUCCAAAACAAGGGCAAAAGUGUUUGGAAAAGUAGAUACGUUGGAGAUGUAUCAACUCCCCCAAGCUUAAACCUUUGCUUGUCCUCAAGCAAUUCAGUUGACAAACUGAAAGUGAUAAAGAAAAACUUUUACAAACUAUGUUUGCUCUUGUUGUUGUAAAUAUGUAAAGCCAGCAUUCAAGUUUUCAACAAAGAUUAUAACUAACCACAUUUGCAAUAACGCAUAGGUCUCAAGUUUACUCAUAUCAAUAGCAUAAUCAACUAGCGAGCCAUAAUAAUAAAUCUCGGAUGACAACACUUUCUCAAAACAAUCAUAAUAUGAUAUAACAAGGUGGUAUCUCGCUAGCCCUUUCUGAUACCGCAAAACAUAAAUGCAGAGCACCUUUAAAGACCAAGGACUAACUAGACAUUGUAAUUCAUGGUAAAAGAGAUCCAGUCAAGUCAUACUCAAUGUAAACUAACAAUAAUGAAUGCAAAUGACAUCGGUGCUCUCCAACUGGUGCUUUUCAAUAAGAGGAUGAUGGCUCAACAUAAAAGUAAAUAGAUAGGCCCUUCGCGGAGGGAAGCAUGGAUUUGUAGAGGUGCCAGAGCUCGGUUUUGAAACAGAGGUGAAUAAUAUUUUGAGCAGUAUACUUUCAUUGUCAACUUAACAACAAAGAGAUGGCGAUAUCUUCCAUGCUACACACAUUAUAGGCGGUUCCCAAACAGAAUGGUAAAGUUUAUACUCCCCCUUCCACCAACAAGCAUCAAUCCAUGGCUUGCUCGAAACAACGAGUGCCUCCAACUAACAAGAGUCCCAGGGGGAGUUUUGUUUGCAAUUAUUUUGAUUUAGUUUGCAUAAAGCAUGGGACUGGGCAUCCCGGUGACCAGCCAUUUAUCUCGUGAGUGAGGAGCGGAGUCCACUCCUCUUGAGAAUAACCCGCCUAACAUGGAAGAUACGGACAUCCCUAGUUGAUACAUGAGCUAUUCGAGCAUACAAAAUAGGAUAUUUAUUUGAAGGUUUAGAGUUUGGCACAUACAAAUUUACUUGGAACGGCAGGUAGAUACCGUAUAUAGGUAGGUAUAGUGGACUCAUGUGGAAUAACUUUGGGGUUUAAGGGAUUGGAUGCACAAGCAGUAUUCCCGCUUAGUACAGGUGAAGGCUAGCAAAAGACUGGGAAGCGACCAGCUAGAGAGCGACAACAGUCAUGAACAUGCAUUAAAAUUAAUCAACACCGAAUGCAAGCAUGAGUAGGAUAUAAUCCACCAUGAACAUAAAUAUCGUGAAGGCUAUGUUGAUUUUGUUUCAACUACAUGCGUGAACACAUGCCAAGUCAAGUCACUUAAAUCAUUCAGAGGAGGAUACCACCCUAUCAUACCACAUCAUAACCAUCUCAAUAGCAUGUUGGCACGCAAGGUAAACCAUUAUAACUCAUAGCUAAUCAAGCAUGGCACAAGAAACUAUGAUCUCUAGUUGUCAUUGCAAACAUGUUUAUUCAUAAUAGGCUGAAUCAGGAACGAUGAACUAAUCAUAUUUACAAAAACAAAAGAGGUCGAGUUCAUACCAGCUUUUCUCAUCUCAGCCAGUCCAUCAUAUGUCAUCAUAAUUGCCUUUCACUUACACGACCGAAUGAUGUGAAUAAUAAUAAUAGUGCACGUGCAUUGGACUAAGCUAGAAUAUGCAGGCAUUCAAUAAACAGGAGAAGACAAGGCAAUACGGGCUCUUUUGUUAGAUAAACAUAAUACAUAUAAGAGCCACUUCAACAAUUUAAUUAUGGUCUUCUCCUAUCGACCCCCCAAAGAAAAGAAAAGAAACAAAACUAUUUACACGGGAAAGCUCCCAACAAGCAAAAGAAGAACAAGAAAUAUUUUUGGGUUUUCUUUUAAUUACUACUACAAGCAUGGAAAUUAAACUGAUUAAAAGCUACAACUAAUUUUUUUUGUUUUUCUUAAGGUUUAUUAAACACACAAUAAGAAAGCAUAAAAAGGAAAAUAAACUAGCAUGGAUGAUACAAUGAAAACGUAUGAGCACCGACAUCUAGCAAUGAGUGUGUGAGCAUAAAUGCAAUGUCGGUGGGAAAUACGUACUCCCCCAAGCUUAGGCUUUUGGCCUAAGUUGUUUUAUGGCCACGGCUGGCCUGGCGGAUAUCCAUAAUAAUAGUUGGGGUCGUACUGAGAAGAAGAGGAAGACUCCGAUUGCCACUGGCUGACAAUCAUCUCCGGAUCCCAUUGGUAAUUAGACUGUUGUGAAGGAUCAACUUGUGGUUCCGGCUCUGGCUUCAUGGCUGGUGCAGGGUUCCGGUAGGCGUGAAUAGCCUUCAACGGAACAAGGUACUGGCCUACAGAUAAAUCAAACAAAGAAGGAGCAGGCAGGGUAAUAGUCUCAGGAUGAUGUUUAUUAAAGAACAAUUGAUAUUUAAGCUCUCAUUCCCUAUUCUUAACAAUAAAAUCAUGUGCCGCCAUACUUUUAUAAUCUAGAUAAACAUGAGGCAUCACUUUUUCUUCCUUCUCAAAAUGCCUAAUAGGUAUGUUAAAAUGUGCAGCUGGGCGUGAAGCAUAGAUGCCUCCAAAGAUGGGGCCCUUUGUACGGUUCAGACUUAACCGUUUGGCAAUAAUGCCGCCCAUACUAACAGAGUUAUCACCAUAUAAACCAUGGAGCAAAAUAAUAAUAUCAGGGAUACUAAGGUUUCCACAGUUUUCGCGACCAAUUAAGCAACGACUAGCAAAUAGUGCAAAAUAACGUAAAACAGGAAAAUGUAUGCUAGUGAUUCGUGCAUCGGAAACCUUCCUUGUUUCCCCUACAGUGAUAGUAUCAAUAAACCCCUCCACAUCAUUGCGAUGUGGUUCUUCUGUCUUUCCCUUAAAAGGGACUAAACAAACCCAAUAAAAAUCAUAAAGUGACAUCUCCUUAUGCUCAUCAUAUAAAUAAAACUCCACCAUAGGUGGUGAGCUCCUAGAAUGGAAAUGAAAGUUUUGCACAAAUAUAUUUGUGAGUAAGAGAUACUGAUCGCAUUGGUCGUGGAGGAAAACGGUGAGGCCUGCAUUCUUAGCCAAUUCAUGAAAAUCUUCAUAAAUCUCGGCUGCUCUCAAGAAAUCAUCAGAAGGUCGUUCACACGCCUGAACCUCCGCGGUGCGAGGUAGAUUAUACUUAGGAUUUGGUGCCUUUUCCUUCGAGCUUUGGCUCGAUGAGCCCCUCAAAAGUCUCCUCAUCAUUUUCUGAAAAAUUCUGAAAUUUUUUAGUAACUUCAAAAUAAAAGUAAACCAAACUCAAUAAUAUUGAUAUCAACUACUCCUACAAGUGCCUAGGGCCUAUAUCAUGCAUCAAAACUACUUUUGACCAUAUAAAUUUGACAUGCAAGCUCAAGAACAGGGUCACCUAAGCAGCAAAAAUUUGCAAUGAAUAAAGCACUAGAAAAAAAA
rnacentral:lncRNA from 1 species